rnacentral:rRNA from 1 species
GAUGAACGCUGGCGGCGUGCUUAAUACAUGCAAGUCGAGCGGACAGACGCGGCGCUUGCUGCUCUGAUGUUUGCCGCGGGAGUGAGUGAAACACGUGGAACACCUCCCUAUCAGUCUGGGAUCACUUCGGGAAACCGGAGCUAAUACCGGAUAAGCUCUUGAACCGCAUGGUUGAAUGGUGAAAGACGGUCUUGCGGUCACUUAUCGCUGGAUCCCGGCCGGAUUGGCUAGUUGGUAAGGUAAAGACUUACCAAGGCAACCAUGCGUAGCCGACGGAAGAGGCUGAUCGGCCACACUGGAACUGAGACACGCUCAAGACGCCUACGGGAGGCAGCAGUAUGGAAUCGUAGGCAAUAGGCGAAAGUAUGGCGCAGCAACGCCGCGCGAGAGAAGAAGGUCUUCGGAUCGUAAAAAUCUGUUAUGGGUGAAGAACAGAUUUGUAAUGAGAUAUGCAGGUAUUGACGGUACCGAAUCAGGAAGCCACGGCUAACUACGUG